GACUGGAAAUCACAGCCCUUGAGUCUCAGUCGGGGCAGCAGAAUUCAGGGGGGGAAGCCGAAUGCAACCCCUUUUUCCCAAAGACCGGAGAGGAUUUUAAGUACAUAGAUGGAAGCUUCUGGAGAUCCUGCUCCGUCGCCCCAGUGUUCAGACUACCUGUUCAGGACAAUGCCGUUGUACAGUAGUCUGCACAUUGGUUAGACUGGGCAAGGGAGAGCAACGCCAUGGACAGCUGGGGACAAAAGUUGCUGUUUCCGAGGAGAAGACAUUUGUUUGCCCCUUUUUUGAAUCUCAUAUACAGUGUUUUUCUUCACAGGUUUUGCACAGUAGGGACCAGGAAGCCCUCGGGACACUGCCGAGAAAGGACUGCUCGAGGGAAGACCUGUGGGUAAGGCCUUCUUGACUGCUCACCUGGGCUAUGACCAGGAGAGCCUAGGUGGGGAGCCAAUGAUUUGCUUUCACAUGUGAGAGAAACUGAGGUAUCUGCAUGACAGAUAGGUCUGCAUUUAAUUUUAAAAGAGCAACAAUGUGUGGUACAUAGUGAUUUACUAGAUGUUAUUCAAUUUCUGAAGAGUUUAACUAUUUUCUUAAGUUUAAAGGUUUUCCCACUUCAAAAUGAAAUAUGAAACACACCCCAAACACUUAAGAAUAAUUUAAUGAGGCUGGUUUUCAAUUGUUGAAAUUGAUAAUCCAGAGACUAAAAACUUAUUCGAAUGAGGGCUGUAGUAUAACUUUUAGCAUCCCAGGAUUGAAUCCAUUUUGCCCCAAAGAAUACUUGCUAUUAUUAAAAUGCUACUUGAAUAGUGCUUUUCUUAAAUUUUAUAUAAUAUAAACAUCAGAAAUAAUAGUAUCUAACAAUAAAAGAAGAGGCUGCCAAGUUUUUGCCUACCAGACAAUGCAGAUGGGACUGGUCCAGAAAAGAGCACCAACCCAGAACUUAUUGAGUCAGCAAUAAAUAAAUCGGAGAAUAAAAACCUCUAUGUUCAGAUAUCACAAUAUAUAUCUCUGUAUUGCAUUUUUUAAAAAAUCCAAGAAUGGUUGAUAACUGCUGGUCAGCUGAGCCCUCGUGGCUAUAUUUUACAAGGCUUCUACUUCUCUGAGCACUUAAAAUGAUAAGGUACUUUGUCUAGAAACCCACUGAUAAAAAAGGAAUUUGUAAACGAAAGCAAAGUUUUCUUUGGUCAGUUUCCAGCUGUCCUGGGGGUGAAGGAGGGUGGGAGAGGGGGAGGAAGGUGGGAGGGAGGAAAACCCUCAAGCUGAAUGAAAUCCCAAUAGAGAGAAUAAUAGAGAAAGUCUGGGUUGCAAUAUGAUCCAUGCUGAACUUUAGAGAUGGGUUCCUUAAAGAACGUUCUGGAAAAAAAUGUUACUGCCUCAACCCCCAUUUAUAUCUACCCCCAAACAAUUCUAUAUAAUGAAAACAUCUGUUCUUUAGGCUUUUGUGUGAAUCUAACCCCUUUUGUCCUCCUUUAAAUUCUGCAAAGUUACAUUGGUUCCUUAACAAAUCCUUUUCUAAAUCAUACAUUUUGCAACAACAAUUCAAACAUUGUCACAAGUUCUCUUUGGCAAAACGUUUUAUUACCAAAGAUUCCCCACGUUAUCUUUGGUCAAGACAAUUUAUUUUAAAAAUUACCCCUUUGAUCAUUCCAAAACUGGUACAAAAGUUUUCUCUUUUAUUCAUGGUUUUUAGUUAAAAUAUAAAAAGCAAGGAUUUAUUUUAGCUAUUUUCUCCAGUUAGAUGAUACAAUGUCAUCCUUUUUUUUUUCUUCUAUUGUAUCUUGGAGGCUUCCAGAUUAAUUAUUUUUAAUAAAACAAGUAAGAUUUUAAAACUCUAUAUAGUUUUUUUUUACAUAGGAAAAUUGAAAAAAUCUAUUAGGUAACUUUAUGGGAGCUUUUUUUUUAAGAAAUAUAUUUUUACUAAUUGAUAUAGUUACUAAAGAAGAUAGCUAUAAGGUACUUUGGCAAUAUUUAAGAUUUUUCAAAUUUGGGGGUUUUGUUUGUUUUUUUACUCCAUGGAAAUAACUGAAUUUCCUAACUUGCUUUAAUUUCAUGUUUAUUUAAUUUAAAUGUCUUUCUUCAUAUUAAGUGGUCUUUUGGUUUAAAUGAAACAAACCCCCACUGGUUCCUCACCUAUUUUCUCCCUCAGGAUUACUUUUAGUCUGGAGACAGAGGGGACCCGAUGGUGUCCUUGGCAUAAGUACAGGAGUAGGAACAUAAGAAUUAAUUUGCAAAAGGGAUAGCCGAGGAGCCCCUGCACGUGCUCAGUGAGCCCUGGCAACUCAUUUUUAAUGCAAGCUUUUAACAAAUGGGAAGGAAUAGUACAUCUUUUUAAAUUCAUGAACUAAAUUAAAAAUCAAAAGUAAAAGCUCACUUUAUAAACCACUGCUGACUGAAGGAAGGAUGGUAGUUUAUGCGCUGGUAUACAUACUAACAUGUAUACACACACAUAUCGUAAAAUAACCUUAUCUAUUUCCAGAGUAAUUAGAAUGUUUAACUUUCUUUUGAUAUUACUUUGUAAGGAAAUAUACAAAUGUUUUAGGGAUCAUGGGAUCUAUUCCAGAGGAAACUAACCAACAAUGAACAACUUCUACUAAAACUACCCCUGGAUGUAAUGGUUGCAUGCAUCAUUCCUUUAAUUGAGCAGAGUUAACUGGAUCAAAUUAUUUAUGGGAGAGAGAGGGAAAGCUGUACAGAAUUACAGUAAUUUUAAAUUUCCACCAAUAUACUCUUUGUAAGUGAAUCACUCAUAAAUAUUUUCUGUUGCACUGAAUGCAACAAUAACAAAAUAGUUUCUUAAGGUAUUUGUUUUUGCAUACUCUGGCCUUGUAAUUAUUUAAACAGCAGCCAAGUUUAGUGAUGUUUUUGAUUCUGUCAAGAAAAAAAAAUAAGUCCUCUACUCAGAAGUGAUGACCAGAAACAGAAUCUGACAUUUAUUUUUUGAAAUUAAAUAAAUAAAUGGAAAGUUGCAUUUAUCAACUCUUUGUUAAAACUGUACCAUAUCUAAUCACUGCAUAAAAGUUCAGAUGUGUAGAAUACUGUCAUUUUUUUCAGUCUCUAAAAACUAUUUUGCUCUCCAUAAACUUUCUAUUUGCUAUUUUCUCAGAAUUUUACAAUUAAAGGAAAAUAACAAACUACUUGUUUUCCUUAAAAUUCUUUGAAAAAAUCCCUAAGUACACAUUCCUUGGACAAUAAGGUUUUGUUUUGUUUUUUAAAAUUCUAUUUAUUGGAAUUUUGACUAUCUGGAUAUUUUAUUUUUUAAAGGGCAGGGAAAUUUGUUAAAUACCUCUACGGAAGUGAAUUGAUCAUUUAUAUUAAAAUAACCAGUAGAAUUAUUCUCAAGUCACCAGAAUUAAAUUUUCUAACUGUAUAUGUAACAUUAAUUCUUUCUUAUAUGAAUUUUAAGGAAAUUUUCCAGAGGGUCUGGCUUUACUUUUUAGAUACGAAAUGAAGCUUUCUCUUCUGUGUUUAAGGUACUAUUUUGUAACUGCGCUGCACUAACAAUGUCCAGUACACAUUGUGAGCAUCCCUGUGGGUAACAACUUUUUAGUUUAUACCCUUUUGAUUCAUGGCACAGCCCUGUAGUUAAUUAAGAGGAAGAAAACUUAAGCUCACAACUGCUUUUUAUUUGGUUUUCAAAUCCAUACUUUAAAACUUUGCAUUAAAAAAUGAGAAAUUUAUAUAAGUUCCUGUUGCUUAAUAAAAUAUUGAUAAAAAUACAUCCCCUUGUCAAAAUCCAACUAACAAAGCAUCAGAUACCAAAGUCCGUUUGUUGCAUUAUCAAAUACAUUAGGCUCAUUGAUUAUUUUGAAAAUGGCUGCCAUUUCCAUGUAAAUGACAAGUUUCUUUUUCAUGGGCUAGAUUAUGGUACUUACCUAUUACAAGAAACAUGUAUAAACAUAGUCUUUAUCUUUAACUUCAGUUUUAAAAUAUGCAGAGUUUUGUGAAGAGGAAAAACAUCUGGUUCAAUUACUCUGAACUCUGACUGCAUGUGGGCCAGUAGUAAUAUGAACUGGAUUUAAGAAUAAACCUUGUGUUUAGUCUUUUUUGUUGUUGUUUUAUCCUUAAAAUUUCAAUGUGAGUUUUCUGCUCUGUCAAUUAUCCAUGUUAGCACAUUUGGAAUGAAUGUAUAAGUGUACUUUCUGAAUAAAGUCAAAAGUCUAACUUGUUUUUAGUUCCAUAAUGUUUUAAUGUUUAAUUCUAUUGUGUGUUUUUCUCCCUUUCCCCUGACCCUCCAAAAUCACCAAAUCUGGAAAACAGACUGAUUGUAUCUGCCCAUGAGCAAAGGAAACCUGAAGGAACCAAGGGCCUGGCUGGACGGAGUUGUCAUGUGUCUGCCUGUCUACACUUGCUGUGCAGAACAUCCGCUCACCUGUACAGCAGGCACAGACAGGCAGUCACAUGACAACCCAGCCUGAAUGACAACCAGCCAUUGAAAGAAAGCAGCCCUCACACCAUAGCAUCUACACCAAGAGCUACAACCAAAAUGAGGGGCGCGGGGGCCUGGGGUUUUAAUUUGUUGGUUUCUUAACUCUUAUGUAUUAUUAUUAUUUUUGAUUCAAAUAUUGAAACCCACCAAAAGUAAAGUGAGUGGUGCUUAUGAAAUAUAAUAAAACCCAUUUCUGAAAAUGUU